UACAGAGUGGGCAAGCGUUGUUCGGAAUUACUGGGCGUAAAGGGCGCGUAGGCGGCCUUCUAAGUCGAACGUGAAAUCCCCGGGCUCAACCCGGGAACUGCGUCCGAUACUGGAAGGCUUGAAUCCGGGAGAGGGAUGCGGAAUUCCAGGUGUAGCGGUGAAAUGCGUAGAUAUCUGGAGGAACACCGGUGGCGAAGGCGGCAUCCUGGACCGGCAUUGACGCUGAGGCGCGAAAGCCAGGGGAGCAAACGGG
rnacentral:rRNA from 1 species